CCUACGGGAGGCAGCAGUGAGGAAUAUUGGUCAAUGGCCGGAAGGCUGAACCAGCCAAGCCGCGUGAAGGACGAAGGUGCCAAGCAUUGUAAACUUCUUUUGUCAAGGGACAAAAUCAGGCUCGAGAGCCUGACCGAGGGUACUUGAAGAAAAAGCAUCGGCUAACUCCGUGCCAGCAGCCGCGGUAAUACGGAGGAUGCGAGCGUUAUCCGGCUUUAUUGGGUUUAAAGGGUGCGUAGGCGGGUUGUUAAGUCAGCGGUAAAAGCCCGGGGCCCAACCCCGGGGAGCCGUUGAAACUGGGGGUCUUGAGAUGUCGAGAGGUAUGCGGAAUGCGCAGUGUAGCGGUGAAAUGCUUAGAUAUUGCGCAGAACUCCGAUUGCGAAGGCAGCAUACCGGCGGCGAUCUGACGCUGAGGCACGAAAGCGUGGGUAUCGAACAGGAUUAGAUACCCUUGUAGUC
rnacentral:rRNA from 1 species